UAAUACGAAGGGGGCUAGCGUUGUUCGGAAUUACUGGGCGUAAAGGGCUCGUAGGCGGCCAACUAAGUCGGACGUGAAAUCCCUCAGCUUAACUGGGGAACUGCGUCCGAUACUGGAUGGCUUGGAUUUGGGAGAGGGAUGCGGAAUUCCAGGUGUAGCGGUGAAAUGCGUAGAUAUCUGGAGGAACACCGGUGGCGAAGGCGGCAUCCUGGACCAAUAUUGACGCUGAGGAGCGAAAGCUAGGGGAGCAAACGGGAUUAGAUACCCCGGUAGUCCUAGCCCUAAACGAUGAAUGCUUGGUGUGGCGGGUAUCGAUCCCUGCCGUGCCGAAGCUAACGCAUUAAGCAUUCCGCCUGGGGAGUACGGUCGCAAGGCUG
rnacentral:rRNA from 1 species